rnacentral:rRNA from 1 species
AGCAGCCGCCGCGGUAAUACAGAGGGUGCGAGCGUUAAUCGGAUUUACUGGGCGUAAAGCGUGCGUAGGCGGCUUUUUAAGUCGGAUGUGAAAUCCCUGAGCUUAACUUAGGAAUUGCAUUCGAUACUGGGAAGCUAGAGUAUGGGAGAGGAUGGUAGAAUUCCAGGUGUAGCGGUGAAAUGCGUAGAGAUCUCGAGGAAUACCGAUGGCGAAGGCAGCCAUCUGGCCUAAUACUGACGCUGAGGUACGAAAGCAUGGGGAGCAAACAGGAUUAGAUACCCCCGUAGUCCCUGUCUCUUAUAC